rnacentral:rRNA from 1 species
UACAGAGGGUGCGAGCGUUAAUCGGAAUUACUGGGCGUAAAGCGUGCGUAGACGGUAGCGUAAGUCAGAUGUGAAAGCCCCGGGCUCAACCUGGGAAUUGCAUUUGAGACUGCUCUGCUCGGGUGCGGAAGAGGGAAGCGGAAUUUCCGGUGUAGCGGUGAAAUGCGUAGAUAUUGGGAAGAACACCGGUGGCGAAGGCGGCUCUCUGGACCGUAACUGACGCUGAGGCGCGACAGCGUGGGGGGCAAACAGG